GAGAGAGAGAGAGAGAGAGAGAAAGGUAGUAUGCUACCCGCUUCGUUUAUUUCAUUUAAAAAUAAACUUAGCUGGAAAUGUGAAUCAACUAGAAUUCGAAUCCUAGUUGAUUCACAUUUCCAGCUAAGUUUAUUUUUAAAUGAAAUAAACGAAACGGAUAGCGUGCUACCUAUCUCUCAAAAAAAUAUUUCUGAGUUUGCCUCUGCAACAAAUGGGCCGGGUGCGGGCUGCUACAAUUUCAAAAUAGUAUCCCAAUUUCGUCGGCCCAGUAAUAUGGGGCUAUUUCCUCUAAACCCUAAAUCCUCCUCCUACAAACACGCAUAUCCGAGUUCGAACCUGGUUCUUUAGGCACCAUAGCCCGGUUUCGGGUUGCGGUGUCUAAAAGUAUUUGCUUUCAUGCUUAUCUUUUUGUUGGCGGUUCGCACUACCAUUUUAUAUCGCUGGUUUCGAGAAAAUUUUAAGAGCAGGUGAUUUUAGACACAGUAAUUCCAAGCAAAAUCCAAAUUAGAUCCUCAGCUAUCUUCUAGAAUUGGAGUUAAUUAUAAACAUACUUUAACUAAUAUUAGCGACCGUAAUGUCUUCAUCAACGUUCAAACUAUUUUUGAGAAUGCGCACAACAUCACUCAAUUCUUACUCCAGUAUAUGAAAAAUAUUAUUUUCGAAUCAUUUUUCAAUAUUUUCGAUAAUAUGGUCCUAAGAUUUAUCCUAAUUUAUCAAAAUAUUAUUUAAGUACAAACAAAUAAUUAUUUAGUAAAUUCCUCUUUUUCGGAAAACAAAUAAUUGGCCAAAUGGGCCACAUCGGAUCAACCGAACAGGCCGGCCCAAACCCGGCCCAACUAAGCGAUUGGAGGUCAUUCUUACGUCCUCCGGAAAAACAAUCGAUGAAUUUGCGUACAAAAACUGACCGUUUCUAGCGCAAGUGAUAAAGAGUUUAGUAAUUGAUACCCGAGAUCGUAAGUUUAAAUUCUAAUUAAUUCACAUUUUCAGCUAAAUUUAUUUAUAAAAUAAAUAAACGAAGCGCGUAGCAUGCUACUUUAAACACUUUCAAUUUUAUUUUAUACAUGAAAAGAAUAAAUUUAUUAUGAGAAUCAUAUCAAAUCUCUUAUUUUAAAAUUAGACAUAUUCAUGUCGUGAUGAUUUUAAAUUUUUUUCAAUAAUUCCAUAUUGUUUUCGACAUUAUUCCAUUUUCCCAAACCCACAAAAAAAAAAAAAAAAAAAAAAAAGAAAUUUUUGUUGCGGGUCAAAGUACUGUGUCCCCUUACCAACUCCAUUUUAACCAGUGGGGUCCAUUCACCCUGAGGUGUCCAAAGAAUUAUACAAAAAUAAACUAUGAUAAGAAAGAUUAAAAAAAAAAAAAAAGGGAAAUUAUGCUUUUGGUCUUCAAACUACGAGGCGCGUAAUACUAUUGGCUUAGAAGGGCCAGUAUCUUAUUCUGUGAUAAAAAAUCGGAUUAGACUGAGUUAUGUUCGAAGUAGUAUGAGGUUAGUCAAGCCAAGUCACAAUUGGGACUUGUAGAUAUUGUGCCUGCACGCUCUAAAUAAAUUAAUUGCGUAUUUCUAAUAGUUCGGACUUUUGGGAUUAAUAAUUAGCACCAAUAUUCAACAGAUGCAUUAAUCCUUAAAUUCUAGUUUGUAAUAAUUUUUGACUCGAGCUUUUUUAAAUUAUUACAAUCAAGUUCCGCAACCUAAUUUUGUUGGCCAAACAAGAAGUGAUGCGACGGAGUUAUUAUUAAUGAUCACAGCAAUGCUUAAAAUAUAGCAUCAUUUUCGUAUCACCAAUAGUUAGCAUUCAGCUAAUGAAAUUAAAUUGCAAAAUUUAAUUAUAAUAAUUGAAAAAAAAUUAUAAAUUAAAAUUUAAGAAAAAAAAUAUUAUAUGUCUCAUAAUUUCAGGAUCAAAAGUGCAAGGAAAAAAAAAAGCACAAAUCCAUGGAGCAUCAACAAUGAUUGAUGGAACAAAAUUAGACCAUUACCUUUGGUUAACAACAUUGUAUUUUAUUCUCCAAGCUUUAACCUUCUAUUUAAAUUGAAGAGUAAGUUCACUAACUAAAUAAUAUAUAAUCUCCUCUAAUCAAUUUUAAUAAGCUCCUAUAUGUAUACACAGGCAACUUGAUGCAUUCAAUGAUCGAAAUUUUAAAUUAGGAUUAAGCAAAGGCAAGUAUAAUUAUUUAAAAUAAAAAUUAUUUGUGCUUAAUUUUUCAUACAGCUUUUAUGUUUUUAAAAUGUACCGAGAAGUUAUUUGUGCUUCUUUAAACAGCUUGAACCGAAUAUUGACCGUUGCUUUUGAAAAUUACUAAUUGAAAAGUUCUUUAUCAAACAUAACUCAUUAAUUAAUGUAAGUACAUGAAAAUGGAAAGGUGAAAGUUUUGAAAACUUCAAACACCUCCUAAGUUAGAGUCAAAUCUUAGAAUUUGUCUAAUUUAUGUUGUUUUCAAAAAUAAUCACAUCACUCUAUAAGCUAUUAUACUUGGCCAGUCAUGUCAAAUUAAUAGGUAAAAUUUAGGGCAAAUUUUAAAUAUUAUUCCUGUGAUUUCACAUGUUCUCACUUUAAUACUAUGUGAUUUAAAGUGCAUCAAUUUAGUAUUCUGUAGUUUUAUUUUUUUUUCUUUUCGUCAGCUUCUCCGUUAAUAUUUCGUUAAAUUAUAUAUAAAAAACUUCAGAUACUUUAUCUAGUUUGAUAGAAUAUUCACUUUAGUACUUUUUAGUUUUAACUUUACCAUUUAUUUAAUGAAAAAAAAAAAAUAGUGGAGAGAAUAACAAAAAAAAAAAAAUGAAACAACGAAGUACUAAAUUGAUACACUUUAAACCACAGGAUACUAAAGUAAAAAAAAGUACGAAAUCACAUGGAGUGGUAUUUGAAGUUUUUUUAAAAAAAUUUAUGAUUUUAUUAGCCAUUCACCAUUAAUUAUUAUUAUUUUAUUAGGUAUCAACAAAUUUCAUAAAAUUUCUUUUAUUUUUGGACUAAAAUAAAUUAACUUUAAAAUAUUAAAAGUUAAGAAGUCUCAAUCAAAAAAAGUCCAAAGUUGAUGGCAUUAUUUCAAAAUGGUGCCGUAUAGUUUGGUCGACGGGUGUCUAUACAUAUUUAAUCACAGAAAUAAUGAAAAUAAUAAUAAAACUAAUAAGGUGAUUAAUUAUAAAAUAGCCCACAGAGUCCACCCAAAACCAUUGGCUUCUAAUUUUCUCUAUGUCACUAUAGGUAUCAUUUCUCUUCCACACCUUUUUUUUUUUUUUUUUUUUUUUUUUUUUUUUUUUUUUUUUUUUGAAUAGGGUUUGGUAGCACCAAACAUUGGACAGAAACUUUCUUGCUUGUCAUCCAACCUCACUUGAGAAGUCCAGUUUCUUGUUGGACCAGGAUAGAACUUCCAGUGGCCGUUAAGUUCUGAAAUUAAAUAUAAAAUAUUUUUAAAAAAAAUUUUAGAAAGAAGAAUUGUAGAUUUUUCGAUGAAAAAAAUCUGAUACAUGACAGUAGAUUUGGCGGGACUCCCUCCCAACAAGGCAUCCGCACUGAAGUUUUCUUUUUUUUUUUCCCCCCACUAACCAAUCCUCCCUACAGUGAAAAUUUUUUCGACAUCAGUUAUUCUAUACUAUGAAUUUAAAAUAAAAAUAUAUAGUCAAUAUUGACUUGAAGCUACCUGGCCAAAAAAUUUUUUUUUGUGCACUAUGUAAUUUGGUCGUCCUUAUAACAGCUAUGAAAAAAAAUAAAAAAAAUAAAAUUAUUCUUUUGUCUCAAAACCUAGAAUCCUUUAAAUUUCAAAUGCCUUGCUCAUGCUAUGGUAAAAAUUUAAAUAAAAGUCAUAAAAGUUUCAAAUACUCAGUUACCGAAUAAUUGCUGCAGUGUAUAUACAGGAUCGAAUGCAACACCUCUAGACCAAACCAACCACUCACUUUACUUGUUUUGGCCAACCAACCCCUCUUUUUUUUUUCCCCAACAAAAAGUUUCAACUUCUAAUAAUAUCUACAAAUUUUGAUAAUAUUAAUUGAUUCUCCAAUACCCCUACCAAUUCCUAAGUUGACGGACAUGAUUUGAUAGUUUCAGCUAAAAUAAACGACGUCAAUCCGUAUAAACAGACGCCGAAAGAUGCUACAAAACCAUACCCAUUUUAAUCAAAAGAAAUAAAUUAGGCGACCUUAGCACAAACUACUUAGGAGGUGUUUGGCCUAUACUUUUAAAAAGUAGCAUUUGGCUGAAAGUGAUUUUUUCGGCUCAAUAGAGCUAUUUGGGCAACUCAUUUUUAAAAUCUGAUUCUGUUUUUAGAAUCCAGUAAAACUUGAUUUGAAGGCCCCAGAAGCAGAAGCAGAAGAAGAAAAAAGUCGCUCUUGAAAUCUAAUUCUGAACAGAGCAGAAAUUUAUUUUCAGAUUUUUUUAAAUUUAAAUUUUAAAAAUAGAUUUCAAACUAAUAAAAGGUUUUUAAAUUUUAAAUUUUAAAUUUUUAAUUUUCAAAUCAAAUUUUAGAUUUUAAUUUUAAAAUUUAAAAUUUAAAUCUACAAAUUAAAAUUUAAGAUAAAAUUUAAAUUUUGACUUUUAGAUUUUAAAAUUUAAAUGAAAAUUUAAAAUUUAAAAUUUAAAUUAUAAUUUUUAAUCUUCAAAUUAUAAAUUGACAAUUUCUUGAAAAUUUAAAAUUAACAUUUUAAAUUUAAUAUUCAAAUUUAAAUUAAUAUUUAAAUUUAUAAUUAUUUAAAUUUUAAAAUUUUGAAAAUUAAAUUAAAAUUUGAAAUUUAAAAUUUAAAUAUAUUUUAAAUAUUAAUAUUUUUUAUAUUUUAAAUUUCAUAAUUAAUAUUUAUUUUUACCAUUUAAAUUUAAUUUUUAAUUUUUAAAUUUCAAAUUUUAAAAUUCAGAUUUUAAAUUUUAAUUUUUAAAAUUCUAAAUUAAAGUUUUGAAAUUUAAUUUUAAUUUAUAUUUAUAUAUUGAAAUUAAAAUUCAUAAUUAAUAUUCUUAAAUUUUAUAUUUAUAUUUUUAAAAAUUUAAAAUAAAUUUUAAGAAAUUUAAAAUAUUUUAAAUAAAAAUACCAAUUUUAAAUUUUGUACCAAUUUUAAAUUUAAAUAUUAAUUUUAAUUCAAAUUAAAUUUAAGAUUUUACAUUAUUUUUAAAUAAAAAUUAAUAAAAAUAUUAAUUUAAUGCAAAACAUCAAAAAAAUUUGCUAAAUAGAUUUCAAAAUCACUCUUAGAUAAAAUGCAGGUUUUUAUCGUCAAACUCCGCCAACACGCUCUAGCAGUUUUUAUACUAAAAAUCACUUGCUUCAAAGCAAAAUCACUUUUUCAGAAGCCAAACAACGUCCUUGAUAGGAAACAGAAUAACAGGUCCACAACUAACGGGAGACGCUAAGCAGGAGCGGAGCGCGCUCAGAGUUUCUGAGAGUUUCCAAUUCAUAAGUUUACUUAUAAUUAGAAGCGGGUAUAAAAUUAACGGCUAAAAUCGAACCGCGUUCUGGAAAGAGAGAAUCGGGUUUGUGAUUCAAGAUUAGAACUAUUAAUCUUUAUCUAGAUAAUCAAUAAAAAAAAUUUAAUUGAUUCGGUUAUUUUGUAUUGUUAAACGAAAAAACACUCUUUGCCACCCGCCGGUAAUGAAAAUUAUUAAUAUUGAAGCCUUGUGAUCACACAGUAAAUAACAUUAAAAACGAAAAUCAUAAAAUUCGAUUUUUAAGCACUUUAAAUAUUCUAAAUUAUAUUUAUCAGUAUGGACUGUCUAUUCAAAAGCUAUAUUUAGGGGAUAUAUUUUUUCUGCAGGGCUUUAUAAAGCUAGAUAUUUUACAAGUGAAGUAUGAUUUAAGAAUUUGACCAACAAAUUUGUCCUUAAAAAAAAAAAGUACAGGGAGUUGGUGAGUCCAAGAAAAUGAAAUUGUGACACAUAAUUCGCAAGGAUGAUGUAGAAGAUGUUGGUGAAAUUAUGGUAGCACUUUGAGCUGAGACUUUGUCUAAGUUAUAUCAAAACUGGGGAUGCAAACCGGGCAGAUCUUAGACAGGGUGGAGUCCAUCACCUUUUGCUUCAUUUACCGUUUGGAGCAGAUUAAUUUUUAUCUUAUUCUUUGUCUUUAUCGCUCUAUUUCGGAUUUAUCAGGACGGAAAUAAAUUUUUGAUAGAUUUUUGACGGAUCAGUGUUGAUAAAAGAAAGAAAAGGGUCUCUCACCUCUCAUUUCAUUUACUUGACCGAUCGAGCCGGUUUCGAAAUAGGUUAUUUCUACAUUUUUAGUUCACAAUUAGUGCCCUAUUCGGGGCCGAUCGGAGCGGGGCCUCCACCAAACCGGAUCCAUUUGCAUUUUUAAGCAGAAGUCUAGUUAUUACAACUCCACAUCUUUAUGUUCUCAUAGUCAAUAAUCUUACCUAACAGCUCCUUAUGGAAUAAUAUAGAUUUAAUUACACUAUAAUUAGGAGUGUAUUUUACAGAUCUUUUCAUGUACUAUACUAUGCUAAUUAUUUUUUUUUCUUUCAAAUACACCACUCAACUAUCAUCUUUUUUCCCCAAAUUCUACACUAUGAGUAAUAAAUAUAUAAUUUUAAAUAAAAAUUAUAUAAAAAAAUACUGAUUGAAAGUGGGUAGAAAGUAAAGCAUAGGCGCAAAAAUUUAAAAAAAAAAAAAAAUUGAAAUCAAAAGAAAAAAAAAAAUAUUAGGAAAAUAUUAGGAUUCAAUACUAGUGCAUUUAAUUUUAUAUACUGUAUUUAAUCCUAUAUAAAAAAAAAAUUGACCUCUUAAUUCAUAAUAACACACACACUAUUUAAUAAUUUUUUUUAGAAAAUCUACAGAUUCACAUCCAUCUCCCCUGGUGAUAUCACUUUCUAUCAGAUCAAGACUGAGUCUGAACGAAUUAAUUUUUAUUUUAUUUUUGAUUUUCACUAUUACUUCGUUCAAGGACGAAUUGGAACAGAAGCAGAUUGAAAUGAGUUUAAAAAAAAACAAAAAAAAACAAAAAGUCUCUCAUAUUUGCUUCAUUUUUUUAGCCGAUCAAGACGAAUUCAGAAUGAACUAUAUGUUUAGAGAGCGGAUCCGGGCAGCAGGAGCUCCGCCAAUCCGGAUCCAUUUGCAUCCGUACCAACCCACCUGCCUACCUAACCCCACUCCCCACCCACCACACCAUAUAAGAAACCCUAAACCCGACCCAACCAACACCCUCAUCAUCAUCAUCAUCAUCCUCAAUCAAAUUCAUUUUUUUUUUUUUCCGAAAACGCUCGCCCCUCCCGCAGCCAUGGACCCGGGCCCCGUCGGCGUGGGCAUUUGCGUCAUCGUCCUCAGCGCAGCGGCGCUCCUCUUCCUCCUCCGGCUCCGGCGGCGGCUCCCGCCGGGGCCGCGGCCGUGGCCGGUGGUGGGGAACCUGCUGGCGAUCGAGCCGGUCCGGUUCAGGUGCUUCGCGGAGUGGGCGCGCGCGUACGGGCCGAUCAUGUCGGUGUGGUUCGGGACGACGCUGACGGUGGUGGUGUCGACCCCGGAGCUGGCCCGGGCGGUGCUCAAGGACCACGACCAGGCCCUCGCGGACCGGCCCAGGAACCGGUCCACCGCCCGGUUCAGCCGCGGCGGCAAGGACCUCAUCUGGGCCGACUACGGCCCCCACUACGUGAAGGUGCGCAAGGUCUGCAACUUGGAGCUCUUCUCCCCCAAGCGCCUCGAGGCCCUCCGCCCCAUCCGCGAGGAUGAGGUCACCGCCAUGGUCCAAUCCAUCCACCGCGCCUGCACCCACCCCGGUACGCUUACCCCUCUCUCCCCUCCUCUUCUUUUCUUUUCUUUUCUUUUUUUUUUCUUUUUUUUUUAAAUGAUUAAUAAUGACUAAUAAAAUGAACACGGUGACGUGGGUGGUGGGCCCCACGGCGGUGUUGACUUUUGACCCUUCAUAACAAUAACAAUAUCUCGCGGAGAAAUUAAAAUUUAUAAUAUUGCGUGCGCCUGGUGUACAUUUUAUAUUUCAUGCACCGCACUCAGUAUAUUAAAUAAGUUAAAAAGAAAUUUUUGGUUGGUGCAUGGUGCAGAUCAAUUAAUGUGCCAAAUUUUAUGUGUUGGGAAAUUAAUUUAAGAAAAAAAUGUAAAUAAAUUGAGCUUGUAUCUGUGAUCACCCGAUAAUAACCCCAUCAUUAUUUUUCUAUUUAGCCUAGAUUAAUAUUAUUAUUUAAUGGUUAAGUUUAUUAAAUAAAUAAUUAAAAAGGUACAUAGUUGGUUCAGGUUGUUGGCCUACACAAUAAGCUGUAGUUGUGCAUAGUGGGGUUGGUGGGGUUUUUGUUACACUUAAUUUCCUUAUUUUAACUUAUCACCCCCGUUUGAUUUGGCCUUGUUAUGUAUUAUGUAUGUACACAAAUGGAUGAAUAUAUAUAUAUGUAUAUAUAUAUAUUGGAUUUGAAUUCUAUACAUUUAAUGUUAAAAUUCGACACAUUUAAUUCGAAUCCGUAGUAAUAGUAAAUAUACAGGCCCAGACAGAGUAAUGUCAUGUAAUGUUACGUGCACUCCCGUUUACUUGUAAAUAUACGAAACAACAGAACUGAUGUAAGUAGGUGUUGAUGCUAACACUGGGUGGUACUCUUUAUAUGUUUCUGUAAAAGCAACUUCGCUAAUUCGUCAAGUUGAAAUCUUUUCAUCCAUACGAUAUGAUUUGGUUGUACAUCGAAACAUGUUUCGGUGUGUAGAAAAUAGAAAAUUUCAUGUAUGUGCUCUGUGUUGGUAGCGAAAUCGGUUUUCAUAAAUUCUUGUUGAUCAUGCACUUAUAUUUACCACUUUAUAUUAUAUUUUUUGAAUUGUUAUUCACAUGUAGUUUUAAUUGGAAACUCUGUUAAACCAAGCUCCAAUUUGUGGUUCGUAGACAAGGUCGGCAAAAGCCUGGUGGUGAAAGAACACCUCUCCAGCGUGGCCUUCAACAACAUAACGAGGCUCGCGUUCGGGAAGCGCUUCAUGAACUCUGAGGGGGUGAUUGACGAGCAAGGACGCGAGUUCAAGACGAUCGUGGCCAACGGGCUCAAGAUCGGGGCGUCUCUAUCUCUCGCGGAGUUCGUGUGGUGGUUGAGGUGGAUGUUCCCCCUCGACGAAGAGCUCUACGAGAGUCACAACGCGCGGAGGGAUAAGCUGACCAAGAAGAUCAUGGAGGAGCAUACGCAGGCCCGGAAGACGAGCGGCGCCAAGCAACAUUUCGUCGAUGCGCUGCUAACUCUCAAGGAUCAGUAUGAUCUUAGCGACGACACUGUAAUUGGUCUUCUUUGGGUGAGUCAUACAUACUCUUAUUUUGCUCUACUAUUUCAUUUCUUGGCUGUUUUUAUAAGAUUAAGUUGCUGCUAAGUAAUCUGUAAUGGUGUGUAGAUUGUGUGGUAGUUUCAAUUGUGUUUGGUUAUAUGUUGCUAUCUUUAGGGUUGGCGGGGUUGGAAAACGUCUUUUUUGCUCUGUGUUGGAACUGAAUUUCCUAUAAUAGAAUAUGUGACCUAACAAAGCUUGUUUGACCUAACAAAGCAUGUUUCUAUAAUACCUUUUAUUUUUCCAUCAAAAUCCUUUUAAAGCGGCAAAAGCACUGUUAGGACUCAAAAAGCUAUUUUGGCUUUUCGCAUUUUGCUUAAGCUAAGUUCUUCUAUGUUUUAACUUGUGGAUUAGCUUCUUAAUACCGAGAAGCACCUACUGAAUCCUUUAUCAAGCAAAAUGUUAGAGUGCUUUAUUAUAAUGGGAGGCUGAAAUGUACUUCUAAGCCUUGAAAAUAGGAGAAGUCCUAAAUUAACAUGACUUGUACAGGACUAUUGCAAAUUUUGUCCACUUUGGGCCAUAGAAGUAGCUCAAUUCCUACGGUUUGUUGUGCAAUGAAAUGCUUCUUGAUCAGCGACUGAUUAUUCUCGGUGCAGGACAUGAUCACGGCCGGAAUGGACACGACGGUGAUCUCAGUGGAGUGGGCUAUGUCGGAGAUUGUCCGGCACCCGAGGGUACAGGAGAAGGUCCAGGCCGAGCUGGACCGUGUGGUGGGUCGCGACCGCAUCAUGGCAGAGACCGACUUCGCUAACCUGCCCUACCUGCAGUGUGUCGUCAAAGAGUCACUCCGACUCCACCCGCCAACCCCGCUCAUGCUCCCCCACAAGGCCAACACCCAUGUCCGCAUUGGCGGCUACGACAUCCCCAAGGGCUCCAACGUCAUGGUCAACGUGUGGGCCAUCGCUCGCGACCCGAAUGUGUGGAAGAACCCGCUCGAGUUCCGUCCUGAGCGGUUCGAGGAGGAGGACAUCGACAUCAAGGGCCACGACUUCCGCGUCCUGCCGUUCGGGGCCGGGCGCCGGGUGUGCCCAGGCGCCCAGCUGGGGAUCAACCUGGUUGCGUCAAUGCUCGGACACCUCCUGCACCACUUCCGGUGGACCCUGCCCGAGGGAGUGAAGCCUGAGGACGUCGACAUGGCCGAGACGCCCGGGAUGGUCACCUUCAUGCGGACACCGCUCCAGGCCGUGGCCGAGCCGCGGCUCCCUGCGGCGCACUUGUAUAGCCGCGUGCCGGUGGAGAUGUGAGGGAGGGCAUCGCCUGUUCCUUCAAUUAAUGGGCAAUGAUGAUAACAGGGCUGCUUUUAUUAUACGCACAUCAGCAUAUUAUGAUCAGAUUCAAUGCAUUUUGUUACAGAUAAUAAUAUUAGUUCUGUUAAUAUUGUGGCCCUUAAUUAGUACUCAUUAGGUACUUAAUAAUUUAAUGCAUCUUUUAAAAACUUCCUGUUUUAUCAUCAAGCUUGUUAGUUCAAUAGUGAUGUUGAGUGUUGUUAUUAUUUGUAAACCUAAAAGUUAAAAAAAUAUGAGAAACGACUGGUGAGUUUCUUUUUGCCUGUAAAUGUAUCAGUUCCAGAUCAAUUUUGGGUUUCUUAUUAUAAGAUCUGUAAAUGUAUCUUCGUCAAUGAUCAAAGAAAUUGAAUAAGAACCAAGGUUAAUGUGGAAAACAUUUACCGAUCUCGCAAAACUUAUGAUUUAAGUUAACAGCUUCAUUAGUUAUUAAUUGUUUUGCUUGCUUUGUUAAACGAAAGCUUCUGUUUCACUUGUUUCAGCAUGCAGUGUGUACAAAAUUACGGUGUUUAUGAACAUCCUUGCAAUGUUAAUGAAACAAGACAACUUUUAUGAAUUAUGAAAAGAACUUUUACGAUUUUAUACAAACUAAGCACAGGUUGGUACAUUUUCAAUCAGAGAUAUACAACCAACCAACUAAGGUUGUUCACAACAUUCCUCAUCUUCCAGAUUUUUUAGCUGCUACAUAACUUCUGAUUUAUACAGAAGCAGCAUUUCAUAUUUUACAACCACCUUUGCCUUCGAACUUCUCCUCUUCGCGUUCCUUCUAUGUUGUUAACAGCAGAUCAUACAUUUCGAAAGUUUCAUGCACCUAAACACAGAAGACGGUAAGUAGGCAACCAUUGCCUGAUUCUGAACUGUUCCGCGUUUUGAAACUAAAAAAGAUGUGAUUUACUGCUUAAUCUUUCAAGUUUCAAUUACUGCGAUGUCUGAACGUACAUUCGAGUUUACACAUUUUCACCCUUUGCAGUAAACGCAAAGUGAAGAUCGAAGAUCGCUAACACUACCUUGCGAAAUUACUGUUCCUGAGUUUGCUGUUACUUUGAAAUCUGUGAGCUGCUUGAAAUUCAUCCAGGGCAUGAGCCAGACCUCGGCCUCAGAAAGCCUGUUCGUGCCCGCUGUCGGCAGCCUCAAUUGUCAGAUAGUAAACCAUUCCCGCGACGACUUGUUCUCUCACCUUCACCACGCGUGAGAACUCCAGAAGAGUGCUCUGCAUCGACGAAAUCAAACAAUUCGAAGGAUAAUUAUCGAGAGAGCAAUUGUGAUCAAAAUUGAUGUUCCAAAUCAAAAUCCUUGUUAGGGAGUGUGCUAAAGCAUAAUACCAAACAUGGAAUAAGAGCACCAUAUUGUGAGUUUUAUAUGAUCUUUUACAAAAGUUAAUUUGAGGAUGUUUUUUAUUUGAUUCUCAUAUAGAGGAUAAACAUGUAUAUUGCUAAGGAUAUGUGGAUGCUUAUAAUAUUCAUCUUAAGAUAGAUGAAGCAAAGAACAAGGAAAAAUUGGGAAAUUAAAUGCUGAAGAAAUUUAUUUCUCGUAUUGCGGAACGAAAACCCUUAUAACAACUUUUAUUUUCGUAAUUAAAUGCCUAGAUAAUAGUUUAUAUAUAUAUGUAGUUUUAUGUAGACCAUUUAAAGAGCAUAGAUUAUUAUGUCUAAUGGUUUAUAAUUUGAUUUUAAUUAAGCCCUCUAAAGUUGAAAAUUAGCCAAUUCUUUGCAAGUUUCUCUCUGAUAAGGACCUUUACUUAAUAAGGUAGUUUAUGUAGUGAAAAAGUUAAUUCUUUUCUUCUAUAUAUAUAUAUAUAUGUAUCUAUUUUCCUUCAAAUAUAUACUUUGUAUCAAGCUAAAAUUUAAAAGAAAUCAAGCAAAAAAAGGGAAAAAAAAGUUAAUUUGACCCUACAAGGCAAUUAAUGUGCACAUCAAAAUGAUAAAAUAUCUUAAUUUGAAGAACUCUUUUAAAAAAAGAGCAAAAUUUACCAACAAAUUAAGAAAAUUUCUGGAGAAAAAAAAUGAAGCUAGUAAAUGAAAUUAAAGCAGCAGGGGAGACACAAACAUAACCCCUAGAAAUUCACAAAACAAGCAAUUAAGAACAAAUCAUGAUCAACAAGAAACACAUGAACACAAUUAAUAAACUAAAGUUCAAAACUAAUAAAAAUAAUAAAAAUUAAUCUUAGAAAAAAGAGUUUACAAGGGUGGUGGUGGUGGUGGUCGUGGUCGUGAUCAACAUCCUUCUUGUUGCACGCCGCGUUGGCGAACCGCGGGACCUCCUCCAUCUCGAAGCUGUUCUCGGCCCCCCUCGGACGCGUCACGGACACCGCCCUCUCCGUCACUAUGUCACACUUGCACAACAUCAGCAAUAAUAAGCUAAUCACAUCUCUCCUUUUAAAAAAAAAGCAUAAUAAAAAUAUUUAUCUAUAAUCAUGAUGUUGUGAUGGAUUAAUUCAAAAAGAGUUUUUUGAUUGGUUGGAGACACCACGUGUCACCAACAUACCCAAUGCGUUCUAAAAUUUUUCCUCUGUGGGCUCCCUCGCCUUCCGCCCCAUGACGGCGGCCCACACGACCAGCGCCUCCAUCGAGCCGCAUCCAUGAUGAUUGUAUUCUCUUCUUCUUUUCCUUCUCCUUUGAAUCUUUUUAUUAGCAAACAUAAAAGGGGAGAAUAUGUUUCAAUGUGUGUGUGGGUGUGUGUGUAUAUAUAUAUAUAUAUAUAUAUAUAAUAUAUAUAUAUAUAUAUAUGAGUUGGACUGGGCUACUAUUAUGAGCAAAAUCCCAUUGUUGCUACCAGUUUUUAGCCUUUGGAUCACUUUUCAUUAUUUCUAACCAUUGGAUUAAAUACUAUAACCCAGUAGGGACCGACUAACCCUAGGGACCAUCAACUCUAACCGACUAAUAUCAUCCUGACCCUACAAUUUUUCAUCCAAGGGUUAAAAACUUGAUAGCAAAAAGAUCAUUUUACUAUUAAUAGUAUUCCAGCCUGAUUAUAUAUAUAUAUAUAUAUAUAUGCAUAGUCUUGUCCUUUUAACGGUUUUUUGGAAAAGUAAACGGAUCUACUGGCUAAGUAGUUGGUGCACUAAACAAACAGGUUCAUUGGAGGGAAAAACAAAAAAAUAAAUAAAUAAAUAAAUAAAUAAAUAAGAAUAAAAAAGUAAAAGAGAAAAAAAAAAAAUUGUAAGAUUUGCUUGCUUCUAUCUUUACUAUUCUACAGUGGAAAAAUGAUAGAGAAAGCAUAAGUGGAUCCAAUAUUUACUCUCCUAUGAUUGCUGUUAAAAUAAAUUAUAAUUGAUCAAAUAUGAUUGUUGUUCUCAAUAGAGAACACACAAAAUCAACUCUCAAUAUAUUAUAUUAUAUUAUUAAGUACAAAAUAUAUAUAGUAGAAGCGUAGUUCUUUGAAUGCUUAGUUUUUUAAGAAAAAUAAAUAUUUUGCAUUCUUUCACAUAAUAUCAUAGGUUCAUUUUAUAUAGAUCCCUACAAAUAUAGUGAAUGACAAAUAUAUUCCAAAACGUCUUACUUUCAUAUAUUAUUUCUAUAAAAAUCCUGAUAUUUUUAAAUAUGUCCCUCUGGUUUAUUACCUUUAAAGAAUCGUUAGAGAACUGUUUAUAUUUUUUCAAUUUUGCUAUCAUAAAUAUAUUCUUUCAAAAACCAUAACAGUAUAAUAUAAAGUGAUAAAAAUGUCAAAAACUAACUAGAUUUCAAGUAUUUAACCUAUGGUUAAUUAAAAUUUUCUAACGGAUUCUAACGGUAAGGACAUAUUUGAAAACAUUAGAAUUUUUAUAGCAACAAUAUAUGAAAGUUGAAGUUUGUAGAAAUAUAUUUGUUAUUUACUGUAUUUGCAAAGACAUGUAUGAAAUUAACCCUAAUAUUAGAAUUAGAGAAAUGUAAUUAACUUUUUACUGUCUCAAAUUAAAGUAAGUUGUGAUCCAGACAUGCCAGCUAUUAUCCAAUGCAUUUUUUGGGUUUCUGCAUAAAGAAAUACUUACAACAGAGAACCUGAAACUGGUCCCAAAAGGAGCCACAAGUAAUUAUACUUUCUUAUGGUCAUUUAAGUGUAAAUUUUACUCUCGCAGAGACCCAAUUAUCUGCCUUUUUGUAUUUAGAUUUAUCAAUCUAAUAAUGAAUGAAACAGGCACCAUGCAACUUUUCUUUUUUAAAAAAAAAUUUAAAUUUUCUUAUCACCUAAGAGGUUGAGGACUCGAGUCAGACGUUUUGAAAACACAGAAGUAAGAAUUAAAUUUUUAGAAGUAGCAAUUCAGAUAACAACAACGAUAAUAUAUAUAUAUAUUUUUUAGAGAAAAAUAACACGCUACCUAUUUCAUUCAUUAGGUAUAUAAACUUAACUACAUAAUGUGAGACGGAUAAUGUGAGACGGUAAGAAACUCGAAAAAGUAAGGAAGUCGAAAAGUACACGGUUAAAUAAGGUAGAGUGGUUGCAAAAAAUAAGACACAAAAGAAAAUUACAGACGAUGACGGCUCAUAGCCUUACAAAAGGCGGCCCACUCCUACGCUAGCUCGCCAAUGAGUUGAGCAGCAGAAAUAAUCGCCAAUGAGUUGAGCAGCAGAAAUAACGUUAGAUUGAAGGUUUCGAAAAAUAGUGUUAUUUCUAUUACGCGAAAUGGUCCAUCACAAGGCCGCCACCAAAAUAUGGGUCUUCAGAUAACAACAACGAUAAUAAUUAGGCUACCGGAAUUACUUACUUGUUGCGAAAAAAGUAGUAACCUUGGAGAGGAUUUGCAACGAAUAAAAUUAUUAGAGGACUGAUUUCAAAAUAGGCUUACAGGUGAGGGGGUUUCUUACACAUUUUCAGAAAGAGAAAUCCCCAUCCACGCACGCUAAAAAUCAAAAAACAAAAAACCCUUUCAAAAACAAACACUCUCUCUCUCUCUCUCUCUCUCUCGCUCUCUCGCCGUCGCGUCCACUUCGAUGGCGACGAAGGCCGACGAAGCCCCGCCGCCGCUUCCCUCCGUCGUCGCCGCCGCCGGCGCCGCAGAACCCUCCGAUCCCCUCUGCGACCCCGAGAUCCGCGCCUCGGCGGCGGAGGCCGAGGAGGAGGAGGAGGAUGAUGCGGAGGAGGAGACGCGCGAGCCGAAGCGGCGGCGCACGUGCCCGGCCGCGCUCGAGACCCUCCUCCCCUCCGCCGCAGCGUGCGGCGGCGACGGCUCCGUCUCCGGCGGCGGCGGAGGGUACGAGGGCGAGGCGAUCUCGUUCUCCUUCGAGGCGCGGAGCUUCGCCCCGAUCGAGACCACCCCCAAGUUCGGAUCCUUCAACUCCUCCUCCGCCGCCGCGCCGAUCCUCGAAACCGCGCCUCCGCCGCCGCCGCCGCCGCCGCCGCCGCCGCGGGAGGAGGAGGAGGAGGAGGCGGUGGAUGGGGUCGGAGUGGAGGGGAAAGAGGAAAGGGGCGGCGCCGAGGGCAAAAUCGGAAAUUCGCAAGGAAAAGAGGAAUAAUAAUACUAAAUGCUCGUGAGCACCUAAUUGACUUUGAGCUGAAAUUUCAAAUUUAGUCCACUUUUAUUGUUGUUGUUGUUGUUAUUAUUAUCUCUAAUUAUUUCCCCUCUUUUUCCCCCUUUUUUUUUUUUUUUACUUUUUUUUGGCCCCUUUUUUUUUUUUUAAUGUAUGACUAAUAGUGGAAAUUAAUUUAUGGGGAAUAAAAUAGUGGAAUGUGAAAUUUCUCGGCUUAUAAAUAUUCCAUCGGCAUUUUCUCACCACACGCAAUGCAGGCAUUUUCUCACCACACGCAAUGUAAUGUUUAAUUUUGAAUGAAGCUAUGUUAUUAAUAUUAACAAAGUUGAUUUUAUUAUUACCAGAUAAAUUUAUCAAAUUUAAUAAUUACUUUUGAACUAAAUUUAAUUUAAUUUCAUAAAUUUAAAUGUGCUCGCAAAGGGCAAUUAUUAUCGGUGAAAACAUACAGAAUUUAAUUAAAUUAUGGAUAGAAAAUAUAAAUUACUCUCUAAAAUAAGAAUUAUAUUAGAAUACUAUUAAUAGCACCAAAUCAUUAGUGUUAUUAAGUUUUUAGCUCCUAAAUAAAAAAAUGUGCGGUUAGAACGAUACUAAUCCUUUAGCAUUAACUGGGUGGGUUGCUGAAUAAUAUGAUCUAACGAAUAAAAAUAAUUAGAGAGAUAAAUUUAACGACAGAAAACUUGAUAACACUAAAUAUUUAGUGUUAUACCCGAACGCCUAAAAUAAUAUAUAUAUUAGAAGAAGAAGAAUUAACAAACUAUCCACGGCAUCGAACACCUACUCUUAUAUAGUCGUCACCAUUAGAAAAAUUCUAUGAUAAUCUUUCAAUUUCAUUUGAGUCAUCAACACAAUGAUUCAUAACAUUUCUUUUCCACUUGACCUAUAAAUGAAAAUUAUAGGAGGAAAAGAAAAUUAAAAAAAAAAAGAAAAAGAAGAAUCCUUAGAACAUUUAUUCAACAGGUGAUGCUAAUUCGGGUGGUGUAUCGUUGAUUAAAGAAGCUUUUGAUGAAACAGGCUCCUUGUACCAUUCAUUCUCUUGGCGUGUGACAAAGCAAGCCUCUGCAUCAAAAUUAACAGGAAAAAAAAAAGAAAAGAAAAAAUCAUAUGAAAUAUGUUAGUCCAAUUUUUAUAUAAAGCUUUAAAAGUUAAGGUAAAGAAAAAUGUAUGGAGAGUCCCUAAGUAUCGGCCGAUUUAAAAUAUACCGCUUAGAUUUUAUGCGUCCGCACUGAUACUCCACUCAACUUCUGCUCGUUUCGAUUCGAGUUGUUUUCGCUAACUGUAACGCCUAGUGAUCGACGGUAUAAGGAUUAGGAAUUUGGGGUUGAUAAAUUUGGGUCAGCGGUUUGGUCCCAAUAUGCUAGUAGGUUGGGUCAUUACAAUUGGUAUCAGAGCCGAACACUAACCGAAAGUGUAAAAGCUAAGUGCUAUGGGCUUGAACUUGACAAGAACGUCAAGGUCUAAACGGAGAGCCACCUCUAGAAUUCCCUAUUGUUUAGUCAUUCUGGUCUUUAUGUGUAUUGGGCUUGGGCAUGACGAGAAUGUCAGAGUCUAAACAUGAGAGUCCGUAGCGUCCCAAUAGUACCAUAUCGAAUAAGAAAAGAACUAUGAUUGAAUUAGGCCAGACCCCAAAAAUCCCAUAUCGAAUGAGAAAAAGAUUAUGAUUGAAUUGGGCCUGACGAGGACUUUAUGGGUCUAAACGGGAAAAGCUCCAACAGUCUAACAUCGGAUGAGAAAAAGGUUAUAAUUGAAAAUGUAAGGUUCAGUGACUCUAAUACUAAAAAUUACACUUAAACAUUUUGGACUGGUGAUUUAGGACCCAACGUUCGAUUUGUGCUAGUAGGCUAGGUCGUUACACUAAAGAAGCCAUUAAACUUAGGAAUCGCUAGUUAAAACGAUGGAAGCUAUUAAAAUAUGAAAAUGAACAAAAUUUAAGGGUCUUCAUGCUUUUUUUCUUUUUUGGCGGAAUUUAAAGCUAUAAAUCCUUUGGGAACAAUACUUGGUGAGUGCACUAAAUGGGUAAUUUACCUGAUACAAAUACAUCCUUGUACUCAUCGUCGUCGUAGAUGAAUGAAGGGGGAUCCGGCGAACCGACGCCGACAAUCGUGCUUCCACUGUUCAAAAGAAUUUCCAAUCAUCACUUUAAGUAUAUUUCAGAUAAACAUUACAUAGAUAUAAGCUUUUAUCGCGAGGCAUCAAGAAAAAGGACACAAUCAUACUAGCAGCAGUAUCACUUCCUUUUCCCAAACUACUCCAACAAAUGAAUUUCAAGAGCUCCAGUUCUUUAAUUUGAAGCAAUUAAAAAUGCAAAGAACUUUGCGGUCUGAUGCGUCAGUACAAAGGCAAACAAUCAGAUAAGCACUAGAAAAGCUAAAUCUUAUGAUCGUUUUCCGUUUUAUUAGCAGAAAUAUAGCAUGCGAUGUUCAAAAAAUUUGCGGUCUGUGACGAACUUGAAAUGAUCAACAAGUUAUGGCCAUAAAUGAAAAUGGUUCAAUACCACUCAGUGCAGUCAAAUCAAGCGCGAAAAUUUACCUUCCCGACAUAAAAACAGCGUUAUAAUCUCCCCGGCCAGCAGCAAUUAUACGCUUCUUCAACUUCUUCAAAGAUGGCAAGACUUCAAAAGCAGGAGGCUCUGAGAAAUACACAAACACACACACACGCCAAUACCCCAUCAUAUAAAAACAGCGAAAGAAGUAAAUAAAUGAAACUAUUAUGAGAGGAGGAAAUAAUUGGCAUAUUAACAGAUGUUCCCGCAUACCAAGAUCGUUUACACAAACAUCCUGAGAUAUCCCGUUUUGCGUGAUCUCCCUAAGCAAGUUCAACGGGUCGACUGAACUAGCCUGGUCUAGCCGAAAGCGCUGCAAAACAGGAACUGAUAUCAUAAGCUAAUGCAUAUUAACCUGUGUAUCAUUGAGCAAUCAAUGGGAUGAGCAUUUCAUUACUUUGUAAACUUCCGCAGUCGAGCAUGCUUCUUGCGGCUUUACGAGCACCAUAGGUAAGUCCACAGGCAAGGCAUGCGGAAUAUCUUCAACAAUCUAGCAACGAAUGCAAGCUUUUAGUCGAACAUUGCAACUCUACAUUUUGAUGGAAAAUAUCCACACUUUUAUUGUUAAAAAAAAAAACAUUCUUCAAUUAACUUUAUCUGUCAAUACCAAUGGCAAAGUAGAUGCCCAUAGUUUUCAGUCAGUCAAGCCACCAGAAAACACAUAUGCGGUAUGCAAGCGCGCAUGCAACAGUAAUAUGCAGUUCAGCAACCAAAAAAAAAAACACAUUAAAAAUGUAGCAUGUAAUGUCAAUUAAUCGUCGAGACAUUAUUCUUAGUCGUAGAUGUAUAAACAAGCAGAACCAGAGUAGAGAGAGAAGAGUUUUCAUUGAGUUUAUAAUGUUGCUUAAUGGAAACAAUUCAAUAAAAACCUUGUUCCUUGUUUCCGCAUUGCAAAUUUUCAGCAUAAAUUUAAGAACUAGUAUCACGAAAUUCCCCGCCGUAUCUGUGUAUGGCGUUGGUGGCAAUCUAAUAAUUUGCCAUACUCAGUUUCAGUUCAAUUUCUAAACAAGGAUGAAGCGCCGUAAUCCCAAGACAAGGGAGCCUAACCUAGUAGCGACGAGAACCCUACUGAACACAAGAUAUCAUUUACAUAAAGGUCACAUAAGAUUCUUUACUAGCAUUAGUGAGCUUCAAAAUAGAAAAUAAAGAUCAUUUAUAUGUGUGUAUACCUCUCCCCUACCGGUACAAUACGCCGCUCCGUGCGAGAAGAAGAAGGGAAUAUCCGAACCAAUUUCGCCCGACCAUUCUUGAAGCUCCUUCUCCGAAGCAAGGCAGCCGCUAAACUGGUUAGCGGCCCAUAGGGCAGUCGCGGCGUUACUACUUCCACCACCGAGACCCGCACCCGUAGGGACUUUUUUAUCAAGAUGAAUCUACAGAAACAAAAAUUGAAAUAAGAAAUACGAUAACGACGAUUCAACCAAGAUUCUAAUAGCUUGUGAGUUACAUUAUCGACAAAUCGUACCCAGAAAAAGUUAUCUGUUCCGGUUUUCUUCCGGUAGAGGUUAAGCGCUUUGACGAUCUGCAGGUCCACGAAAUAAAGUUAUAAUUUGGAAGAAGAUGACGAGUAGGAAAACGUGAUUGUAUACCAAAUUCCUUUCAUCGAGUGGGACGCCGGGCACGUUUGUCGACAACUGAUCCUUCGUCUUCGUGGGCGACAAGGAGAAUUUGAUGGUAUCUCCUAAACUAACUACCUGAAGGGUUCAUCAAGCAAAUUAAGAGAAUUUAAAUGGAUAUGGUGAUGAUUCUACACAAUUAUCUGAGCACUAAAAGGUGAAAAGAAACAUAAAAAACUGAAAUUGCUGAUACAAGUUAUAUACUAAGAAUGGAUGAUGAUCAAGCAAAGGUAGGAAAACAACAUACAUGGAAUAAGGAAGCCAAAUCAUGAAACCCAUCUUCUCUUUUACCAGUUAUUCUCAAGAAAACAUUAAUCUGCAUCAUUCCAACAGCAAAAUCCAUCUCAAAUUCACAACAAAUACACCAAAAAUUGAACUUUUUGGUUUCCUCUUCCACCUGAGAUGAUGUACCUUACAAGGUGAAAAGAGGGAGAGCCUGGAGAGCCCAGUGUUCUUAUCCACCUCAUCUGCUAAUCUGUUUAUCCUCUCAUCUGGAUCAUACACUAUCUAAAAUCCCAAAAAAAACACCUCAACAACAAAAUUAAGCACAAAAAAAAAAAAGGAGACAACUUUGGAACUGAAACACAGUUCUACAAUAACAUGUGCAGCCUCAUACCUGCACCUGUCUCCUUCCUGACCCAGAAGCCAUGAUUCUGGGAGAUGAGUUCUUCUGAAAAGAGCUCUUUUGAUGGAAAUAACAUGAUCCAUGGCCCAGAUUUGGUGAGGAAACACCUCUAAAGGUGGGGUUUUUAGGGGUUUUGGUGUUGUAAUGACAUGGGUGGAGGUGGAAGGGGAGGAGAUGUGAGGAGGAGGCCAUUGAAGGGGAAGCAAAAAAGGGACUGGUUUGGGGGUGUACUUAUCAAAUUUUGUUAUUAAUUAGUGAGGAUGCAAAGUCCAAAAAUUCUACAUUUUUGACCAAAAUUUUUUGCAAUUAUUUUAAAUUAAAAAUAAAAAACACUACUCGCUUCACUCAUUGAAAAAAUAAACUAUGCUAUAAAAAUAAGACAACAGAAGAAGCCUCGACAAGGGCAAAAAACUAAAAAAAAAAAAAAACUAAUGCUUGUUAACUGAGAGGGUCUGUUCCCAAAAAUUCAUCAGCUGUAUUUUAAUUUUUCAUACAAAAAAAAUAAACAUUCAAGAUUCCAUCAAAUUUUAAUUUGUUUGUUGGUUUUUUUAUUUUUUUUAAUCUGAAAGGAGGAUAAGGUAUUAAGGUGAGUUUCAUGUACAUGUAAUAUAAUAAUUUUUCAUAAAAAAUUAUUUUCGGAUAAAAAGUUUUCCAUUGAAAAUAUUUUAUUUUUUCAUAUAUUUGCUUUUUUGAAUAAAAUAUUGAAAAAUAAAAAGAAAAUCAGAAAAAUUAUUUUUCUUGGAAAUUAAAAGGAGAAAAAAAAAUAUUUUAUGAAUUUGUGAGCAGUUCACCUAUUUGAUUUCGUACGCUGUUACCGAUUUUCAAAGGGUGAGUUUGACUUUUCCCUAAAAAUAAUUAGGUGAGUUUUUAAGAUUGUAGAAAAGUACCAACAAUGCUAAUUUUUAGGGCAAAUUUAAGUCAAAGCCACCAUGAGAUUAAUUAAGAUAUGUAAUCAUUUAUACGAAUUCUAAGACAUGUUUAUUUUUUUUUUCUUGAGAAACAGAUAACUUGUUAUCUGUUUUAUUCAUUAGAUAAAUAAAUUUAAUUAUAAACAUGAGCCAACGAAGCCUAAUGCGUAAAAAUUUUAAAAUAUUUUAGAGUGUCAUGCUGUAUGAUCAAAGUACAAUUUGAUAAUAGAAAGAUUAUACUCAGCGCGAAGAUUCCUUUUGCAGUAGAAUCAGAAAUUUCAAUUCAAAACUUUUGCUUUUGCGUCUCACAAAUAUUCUGGGUUCAAAUUUUAUAAAAGAAUUUCAAAAUAAAAGUAAAAGUAAAAACACUUUAUAACAGAAACAGAAACUCUAACUUAAAACUUUUUUUAUAGGUUUCAGAAUUAUUUUGCUUCGCAUAUGACAUAAAUUACAUAGUUUUAUUCAAAUCUCAUAGAAGAAUAGAAAUAUAAAUUUUCUGAUAACCAAACAUCGCUGAUUAAGACAAUCCCAAUUGUAAAAUUGGUACAAAUUUCAUAGAAGAACUAAAAAAAAAACUAUGAAAUAAAAAUGUUAUAGAUUUACAUUCAAAUUUCAUAGAGGAACAAAAGCUACAAAUUUUCUAAAUACUAAUAAACACAGAUAUUAAACUAAUCCAAACUAUAAGAUUCAUUCAAAUUUUAUAGAAGAAAAAAAAAAGCCAUGAAAUUUAUCCAAAAAAAAAGACAAAUUUUAAAACACACAUAUUAAACUAAUCCAUCCAACAAACUAUAAGAUUCAUUCAAAUUUUAUAGAAUAAAAUGAAAAAAAAAAAAUCCAUCAAGUUUAUCAAAAAAAAAGACAAAUUUUUUAUUAAAAAAAAAUUUGCCGCCGUUGCCGGGGAUCGAACCCGGGUCGUCCGCGUGACAGGCGGAAAUACUUACCACUAUACUACAACGACUUGAUUGAACAAUUAUAAAAUAACGUUAUAUUUAAAAGUAAAUUUAUUUUGGUCCAUCAUGUGCUUUAUAAAAUAACUACAAGUUAAGAAAUGAAAAAAAAAAAAAAAAAAAAUCAUUCACCAACAUCGACUUCUCGAGUUCUCUUUUCGAAUCUCUCCUGCUUCUUAUCUUCCAAAAGAACACGCACAUCGUUCGAAUCCUACUACAUGAAUAAAGAACUUUGAUGAUCGCAUGUUAUUUCUCGAAUUCAUAUUCGUACGAGAAUAAUCGAACACGAAAUUAUUUGAGUAAUAAUAUGAUCAAAAAAAGAAAAAUUUUGUAGUAGAAUAAGAAACUCGCACUAAAAUCUUUUGCUUAUAGGUCUUAUAAUAUGGCAUAGGUUACAGAUUUUCGUUCGAAUUUCUUAGAAGAACAAAAUCUCCAGCUUUUUUGACUACUAAACACGCUUCUUAAAGUAAUCAGAGCAUUUAGCGUUUGGUUAGGGGAUAGGGAUAGGGAUAGGCCCUUAUUCCCCCUUUAUACCCAAACGCUAAUUUUUUAUCCGAAAAUAGUAGUUCUCGGUUAUCCCUACCAAUACCUCCAUUUUCUAUAUAAAACUACCUAAUAUUUUUCUUAUCCCCGGAAACAACCCAAUUUUCCUCCAAACGCUAUUUUUCUUAUCCCCAUACUUAUACCUAUUCCUGUAAUAGCUAGUUCUUCCUUAUACCCGAACCAAACGGUGGCAGUGUUUGGAUUGGGGAUGAGGGGAGGGAUAACCCUUAUCCCCCCUUUAUACCCAAACGCAAAUUUUUUAUCCGAAAAUAGUAAUUCUCGGGUACGGUAUAACUAUUCCCAUCAACACCUCCAUUUUCUAUAUAUAACUAACUACUAUUUUUCUUAUUCCAUAUUAUCUAUUCAAAUUUUAUUUUUCUUAUUUUCGGGAACAAUCCAAUUUUCAUCCAAACGCUAUUUUUCUUAUUCUCAUACUUGUACCUAUCCCUGUAAUAGCUAAUUUUUACUUAUUCCCGAACCAAACGCUACCUUAUAGUUUAAAAAGAUUUGAAGCUUGGAAUGAGAGUCGGAAUAAUCUUUUUCAGUCGUUUGCGUUUGGCUUAAAUGGCUGGUAAUUCCGAUUUUUAUUCCGGAAAGAAUCGAAUCCUUGGGGAGGGGAUUCUAAAAAAGAACAUAUUUUUUCGCUAACAAUUAUUUAAAUUCAAAUAUUAGUCUAUAUUUAAUUUUAGGAUUAAUCAGAAUUUUAAAUUUGAAUUUGAAUUCAAAUCAAUUUUUAAUUUUUAAAUUUAAUUUAAAUUCUAAUAAUAUAAGUUAGAUAUUAAAAUUUUGUUCUAAAUUACUUUGAACUUGAAUUCGAAUUAUAAACAUAAAUUUAUGUUCAAAUUGUGAGUUCAAAUUUGGAGUCAAAUUUUGAUUACGAAUUUGGAUAGUAAAAGUUUAAUUUGAGCAUGAUUUCGGUUACAAUUCCUCUUAUCAAUCAAUCAAAAUAGGUUGUUUUAUUAUUUUGUUUUCGAUUCCGGUCGGUUCUAAGUUUCAUUCGUAUUGCGAUUCCGUAUUUGAAUCCAACAUCAUUCAAAUUUCAUAGACGAACCUCAAAAGAAGAAAAGAAAAAACAUAUUCAGAUUAAGUUCAAAUUUCAUACAAAGAAAUUCUAUAAAAAAAACACAAAUUUUGUUUUAAAAAAAAUUGAAGUAAUUCAUUCAAAUUUCACAGAGUAAGCUCAAAAAAAGAAAAAGAAAACACAUUCUGAUUAAUGGAGAAAAAAAAUCAAAAAAGAAGAGAAAACAUUCUAAUUAAAUUCAAAUUUUGUCUAAAAACUUUUAAAAAAAGUGGAGUUUUUUUAAGAAAAAAAUUUGUAAAACGCCGUUGCCGGGGAUCGAACCCGGGUCGUCCGCGUGACAGGCGGAAAUACUCACCACUAUACUACAACGACUUUGUUGAAAAAUUUUAAACUAAUAUUUUGUUAAAAUAUAAAUGUAUUGUAACAAAAACAUAUUUAUUUUAAUCCAUCCUAUAUAUAUAUAUAUAUACUAGUGAAAUACCCGCGGGAUGCUGCGGAUAUAAAAUUAAUUUUAUAAUAAAUUUUAUUUUUUAAAAUAUUUUUAUAUAGUUUUAUAAGUCUAAUUAUUAAUUAAACAAAAAUUAUCUAAAAAUAAUUUUGUAGUUAAAUCUAUUUAAAUAAAAGUCAUUAAAAUUGAUAUAUGCGCAAAGUAAAUUUAUAUAAUAAUUUAUUUUAUAAAGAUACAUAUGAAAAGGAUUUGAGAUAAAUCUAUCAAAAUAAUUUUAAAAAAUCAAUAAAUAGAAGGAAAAUAAAAUUGUAAANNNNNNNNNNNNNNNNNNNNNNNNNNNNNNNNNNNNNNNNNNNNNNNNNNNNNNNNNNNNNNNNNNNNNNNNNNNNNNNNNNNNNNNNNNNNNNNNNNNNNNNNNNNNNNNNNNNNNNNNNNNNNNNNNNNNNNNNNNNNNNNNNNNNNNNNNNNNNNNNNNNNNNNNNNNNNNNNNNNNNNNNNNNNNNNNNNNNNNNNNNNNNNNNNNNNNNNNNNNNNNNNNNNNNNNNNNNNNNNNNNNNNNNNNNNNNNNNNNNNNNNNNNNNNNNNNNNNNNNNNNNNNNNNNNNNNNNNNNNNNNNNNNNNNNNNNNNNNNNNNNNNNNNNNNNNNNNNNNNNNNNNNNNNNNNNNNNNNNNNNNNNNNNNNNNNNNNNNNNNNNNNNNNNNNNNNNNNNNNNNNNNNNNNNNNNNNNNNNNNNNNNNNNNNNNNNNNNNNNNNNNNNNNNNNNNNNNNNNNNNNNNNNNNNNNNNNNNNNNNNNNNNNNNNNNNNNNNNNNNNNNNNNNNNNNNNNNNNNNNNNNNNNNNNNNNNNNNNNNNNNNNNNNNNNNNNNNNNNNNNNNNNNNNNNNNNNNNNNNNNNNNNNNNNNNNNNNNNNNNNNNNNNNNNNNNNNNNNNNNNNNNNNNNNNNNNNNNNNNNNNNNNNNNNNNNNNNNNNNNNNNNNNNNNNNNNNNNNNNNNNNNNNNNNNNNNNNNNNNNNNNNNNNNNNNNNNNNNNNNNNNNNNNNNNNNNNNNNNNNNNNNNNNNNNNNNNNNNNNNNNNNNNNNNNNNNNNNNNNNNNNNNNNNNNNNNNNNNNNNNNNNNNNNNNNNNNNNNNNNNNNNNNNNNNNNNNNNNAAAUUUAACGGAGCCGAUCGACGAUUCGAAAGUCGCAACAUCGAAAACGAGCUGGAAGUACGGAAGGCUCCGUGCUUCCGAUAGCAUAGUAGCCUCACUCUAUAUAUAUAUAUAUAUAUAUAUAUAUGUGUGUGUGUGUGUGUGUGUGUAUAUGUGUGUGUGUGUGUGUGUGUGUGUGUGUGUGUGUGUGUGUGGAGAGAGAAUGAAGUGGAGGGUUGGGGGACUGGUGUCAACCUAAGUAGGGGUGGAAACGAGCCGAGCUCGAGCGAGCUUAUGUCAGCUCAAAUUCGGCUUGAAAUUAAUUUCGAGCCUAAAUCUAGGCUCAAGCUCGGCUUGAAAUUAAUUCGAGCCGAGCUCGAGCGAGCCUAAUUUCGAGUCGAGCCGAGCUCGAGCUCUAAACGAGCCGAUUGAAAUUCUCGACAUUAUAUAAUCAAUAGUUUAAUUUUUUUAGAACAUUACCUACAAUUUGAUGCAACAUGUCCAAUAGUUCAAAAUACAAAAUAAUUAUAAGAAAUGUGAGCUAGGGUGACUUCCUGAUUGGAUGAGGGUUUGAGAGAGAGAGACAGAGAGAGGAAAAAAAGUAGGGAUUUGAAAAUUUGAAUGUUAUCAUGUUUUAGGGUUAUGUGCAACAGUGAAAGUUUGAAAGAGAGAGUGUGUUAUGUAAAUUUAGAGUUGGGCUCAAUUGCACGGUUGUACUUAUUGGGUUUAUUUUAUGGGCCAAUAAUAAUGGCCCAAAUUAAAUUAAAGCCUAUAUAUAAUUAAAAUACAUUAUAUAUAUAUAUAUAUAUAUAUAUAUAUAGAGUCCGGCUACUAUACUUUUAUGAGUAUUGACUCCUUUAUACUCAUAAGUUUUCGACCCUUAGAUUUAUUCCAUUAAUCAUUUUCAUCCGUUAGAUCAUACUAUUUAACCAACUACCCACUCAACCCUAGGGGACCACUAUCAUUCUAAGUGGGGAUCACCAUCAUCCUAACCACACAUCCCAUCAAUCAACGGUUAAAAAUUUAUGAGUACAAUGGGGUCUAUACUCAUAAGAGUAUAGUAGCCCCAGCCUAUAUAUAUAUAUAUAUAUAUAUAUAUAUA
rnacentral:lncRNA from 1 species